CGCGACCCCAGGUCAGGCGGGGCUACCCGCUGAGUUUAAGCAUAUCAAUAAGCGGAGGAAAAGAAACUAACAAGGAUUCCCUUAGUAACGGC
rnacentral:rRNA from 2 species